rnacentral:piRNA from 1 species
UGCCUUGGUACACCUUUCUAGAAACACAUUA